CCUUACAAAUCUCCCAGAGGCCUUGCAAAUAUAAACAGACUUCAGCUUUUUCAUGUUCCUCAUGCCCAGAAACUGGGACAUUAAGAUGCCAGGGACCCUUCCCAUAUGGAAACCAUGUCAUAAGUGCAGGAGAAAUUCUCAAUUGACCGAGAGAACUUCUAUGGUGCUGCCAAAGGGCCAGAUGCAUCUUUCAAAAGAAUAUGGAUUUGGCUCAGAAAAAAACAGGUGGCCUCGGCUUCCAAGGAGAAGGGCAGGUGGGGUGACAUGGCAGGCCAUGCCCCGUCCCCUGGGCCCACAUCUCCUCCAAAUACAACACUGUGUCACCACUAGGCUGGGCAGCCCUGCAGGACACGUGGCUCUCCUGAAGAGGAGGACAGAGACUGCAAGGAUUCAAUCCGGGGCCAUGUGCAAAAUGAACCCCACGCAAUUACAUGGGGAGAACGUGAUAUUGCAGAAGGCGUAAAAUUGUUUUACGGCACUUGAGAUUUUUUGUUUCAGAGAAAUUGAACAGAGAUGAGGGGGGAAAACUGCUGCAUUCAAAAAAGGUCUCGUGAUGCAGGAUACCAGAAAAUAAAACUUUUUUUUGUUUAACCAAUAGAGACAACAAAGAGCAAUUGUUUCUUCUAUUGCCAUCUACCAAACCAUCAACUAUGUGAUCUUUUGCCCUAAUCAUGAGCUUUCAAUGUCUCCGUUCCUGUGCCUUCAUUUUCACACACUCUUGUGAAACUGGAGUGAUGUUCUGGCCUGAAAUGAUGGCUAAGGGAUUUUUGCUGUUGUUAGUGAGCUUUUGUGUAUUUUUAAUUUUUUAAGAAAGCUCUUCAUUGUUAAGAAAGAUGAACCUAUCUUCAGAACAGAAAGAGACUCACAGACAUGGAGAGCAAACUUAUGGUUGCCAAGGAAGACAGGGAACGAGUGGGAUGGACUGGGAGUUAGGAAUUGGUAGAUGCAGACUAUCACAUGUAGAACAGAUAGGCAAUGAGGUCCUGCUGUGGAGUACAGGGAGCUACAUCCAAUCACUUGUGAUAGAACAGGGUGGAAGAUAAUAUGAGAAAAAGAAUGUGGGAGUUCCCAUCAUGGCACAGUGGAAACAAAUCCGACUAGGAACCAUGAGGUUAUGGGUUCGAUCCCUGGCCUUGCUCAGUGGGUUAAGGAUCCGGCGUUGCUGUGAGCUGUGGUGUAGGUCACAGACGCAGCUCGGAUCUGGCAUUGCUGCAGCUCACACCUGAGCAUCUUGCCUCUGGUAAUGAGAUCUCAGGGCACAGCUUCCUUCCCACCCAGCCGCAGGGCCAGAUGAACAGGGCCGGGAGACGUGACCGUGGCUGUGACUGUGUGCAGCAUGGCUGCCCUGCCCUUCCUCUCCACCUCACUCCACCUCGAGCCACCCCACUGGGCUCACUCUCAGUUGCUCAAUGCCUAGAAGGCAGGAAUGCAUCCUUCACUUCUGCUCCGCUCUGCACCUAGAAAAUUCCUCUCUCGUGGAAGACGCCUCAUAAACAUUCAUUUCCUGGCAGUAACAGUAUCUACAGAUUCACAGACAGUGACACGCUGCCUGGGAUAUAGCUCUUUCUGCUUUCGUUUGCCUCUGUCCUCUAAGACACAAAUAUCGGGGAUGGUACAAAGAAAAUCUCUAGAUGAAAAUUCUGAAUUCCUGCUUCCCUUUCCUCCUUGGCAUCAGUCUGAAUUAAAGAGUGAAAGGAAUCUCAAUGUCUUUUCUCCAGAUUUUUUUUUUUUCAUUCUCAAUACAGCACAUCAGUUCCCUUUCCUGCACUCAUGCAGUAGGCAACAGCUAAAAGAGAAAAAUCCCCAGUGCAAGAAAUGGAAACAUACUAUCUCAUGUUUUCCCUCUGUGGGUUGGCCAGCUGUCUGCUGCUUCGCGGGCUGAUGGAUGCUUGACAUAGCAUUCAGUGUUGCUUGAUACCCAGGAUUUAGUUAGGGGGACGAUGAUUAUGUUUAUAUUCCUUCGAAAAUAAUUCAGAAAUGUGCUAAACAGGAAAAAGAUAAUAGCAUUGUCCACGCAGAGGCCCGCCGACCCUUCUGGUUCCACUGCCGGCUCAUUGUCCAGCAGGUCCCAUUACAUUAAGCUGGGAAGCACAUCUGAGGAGAUGGAUGUGAAUGGUCUGGAAGGAGGGGUGACAAGUACAGGAGGACAAUUCGUUCUGGGACAAAAAGCCUCAGCUCAGAGACUCCCAUGGCUACGUCUACAGCCUAACCAGCCAUCUGCAUAAAACUUAGGGCUGUAAGAGCACCGGAUUGAACAGGAGGGGAGAAACUGGCCAUGGCAAUGGUGGGGGCAGUGAGAAGGGGGAGGCAGAGAAAGUGACUGUUUUCUUUAAUCAAGUGGCCGGUGGUAGCCAGAAAAGACUGUGAGGUCCCCUCAGGAAAGCUGGAGAUCAAUGCGCUACAGAGACGAGAUCAAUGAGCUACAGAGGGGGUAAACACCAGCCACCAUGGUCCACCAGCAGCCAUCACGUUCUCACCAACGUUCUU
rnacentral:lncRNA from 1 species